AGAGUUUGAUCAUGGCUCAGAAUCAACGCUGGCGGCGUGCCUAACACAUGCAAGUCGAACGCGAAAGCCCCGCAAGGGGUAAGUAGAGUGGCAAACGGGUGAGUAACACGUGGGUGACCUGCCUUCGAGUGGGGGAUAACGUCCCGAAAGGGACGCUAAUACCGCAUAAUAUCCUGCCUUUUAAGAGGUGGACAUCAAAGCUGGGGACCGCAAGGCCUGGCGCUUGAAGAGGGGCCCGCGCCUGAUUAGCUAGUUGGUGUGGUAAUGGCUCACCAAGGCAACGAUCAGUAUCCGGCCUGAGAGGGCGGACGGACACACUGGGACUGAGACACGGCCCAGACUCCUACGGGAGGCAGCAGUGGGGAAUUGUUCGCAAUGGGCGCAAGCCUGACGACGCAACGCCGCGUGGAGGAUGAAGACCUUCGGGUCGUAAACUCCUUUCGAUCGAGACGAAUGGCCUCUGGGUGAACAGUCCGGAGGAGUGACGGUACCGAGAGAAGAAGCCCCGGCUAACUCCGUGCCAGCAGCGGCGGUAAUUC
rnacentral:rRNA from 1 species